UUAGAUAAUAAUAGUUAGCGACGCUUUAAAGCAUCAGUAAGAAUAACCUCGAUCGACGCUCGUAAAAAUAUCGAGUAAAGUAUCAUCAAGUAAACAUGUCAUAAUAAAUAUACAAAAUAUUGAAGACGUUAGAAUAAAAUGUUGUCUAACAAAUAUUGUCUAAUACAUAUUUUAUUAUUUUUUUAGAUUUUAGCAAAAUUAAAGAAAAACUUAAAAUGACCAAU
rnacentral:lncRNA from 1 species